GAUGAACGCUGGCGGCGUGCUUAACACAUGCCAGUCGAACGAUGAAGCUCAGCUUGCUGGGUGGAGUAGUGGCGAACGGGUGAGUAACACGUGAGUAACCUGCCCUUAACUCUGGGAUAAGCCUGGGAAACUAGGUCUAAUACCGGACAGCAGAGCCUACCGCAUGGUGGGUGUUGGAAAGAUGUAUCGGUUUUGGAUGGACUCGCGGCCUAUCAGCUUGUUGGUGGGGUAGUGGCUCACCAAGGCGACGACGGGUAGCCGGCCUGGGAGGGUGACCGGCCACACUGGGACUGAGGCACGGCCCAGACUCCUACGGGAGGCAGCGGUGGGGAAUCUUGCACAGUGGGCGAAAGCCUGAUGCAGCGACGCCGCGUGAGGGAUGACGGCCUUCGGGUUGUAAACCUCUUUCAGUAGGGAAGAAGCAAACGUGACGGUACCUGCAGAAGAAGCACCGGCUAACUACGUG
rnacentral:rRNA from 1 species